rnacentral:lncRNA from 1 species
CUUGCAACGCUGGAGCUGGCCACAGUCCCUUCAGUUCUUCCAGUCAGAAGCUAAAAAGUCGACAAUGAGCUUGGCUGUCUUCCUCGGUCUCUCCAUCACUACCGAAUGGCCACAGUUUUCCAGAACCUCUACCUGGGAGUUAGAGAUUGACUUGGCUAAUAUGUCUGCCCCGGACACAUCAAGCACCUGCAGAGGACGAGAAAGAAAGAAACAUAUAUUUUUCAUGCAUUUCUAAUCUCUGUAAGUACAGUGUGACUUCC